GGAACCAUGGGUUUUUCGGUUGGUUUUUUUUUCAUCUUAAACCUCCUCCUGAUCAUUUCUUCAUGUCUUUGGUUCUUUUCUUGUAAGGCAUAAUGAGUGAAUGUUCUCUUUUUAACAUCUCCCCAGUGGUGAUGAUUUUAUCAACUUUGUCAUUUCGUUUGUGCUUGUUUUUCCAUCACCACUUCUACUUAUUUCAGAACUGAUGCGAGUGCACAAAGACAAGAAAAACAGAAAACUGAACCACUCCAUGUAGAGCGGACCAGAAUUCAGUGCCUUAAUAGGAUUGGGCACAUCCACUAUACACAGCAAGCCCAGCUUUCGGGAACGUGGAACCUCUGUAUCCCUGUGCAUCUGCAGGAGAUGCAGGCAGAACGCCAUCUGGGAGUACGCUGACCUUCCCCUCUGCCUGAAUUGUGCUGUUUAGAAAAGUGAACCUUUAGGAUGAGAGUCUAAAACAGAUACUGUGAUAAAGAACCUGGGAAGCAGCAAUUUUGUACCUUAGUUAACUGUGGGUAUUACCAAUGGUUUUCAACAUGUUUUUAAUGGGGACUUUUCUCCUCCAAAGUCUCAGUUUUCACCCAGACCUACAUGCUGCCUGGUUUCCAGCCCACUGGGUGACCUGCAGUGCUGCAGCCAGGCAGGAAGAGCGUUGUGGUGACUCGGGCUCAGCAGGUACAGUUAUUGGAGAUCUGCCCUGCAAAAGUACCACUGUGCAUUAAGUAUGAGAAAAGAAUGCAUAUGCAUAUUAACAGCUGUUUAUGACGGUGGAUAGUGGUAGGACAAGGGGGAAUGGUUUUAAACUGAGACAGGGGAGAGUUGAGACACUGGAACAGGUUGCCCG
rnacentral:lncRNA from 1 species